GCUCAACCGAGGAAGUGCUUCGAAAACUGGUAAACUUGAGUGCAGAAGAGGAAAGUGGAACUCCAUGUGUAGCGGUGGAAUGCGUAGAUAUAUGGAAGAACACCAGUGGCGAAGGCGGCUUUCUGGUCUGUAACUGACGCUGAGAUUCGAAAGCAUGGGUAGCAAACAGGAUUAGAUACCCUGGUAGUCCAUGCCGUAAACGAUGAGUGCUAAGUGUUGGAGGGUUUCCGCCCUUCAGUGCUGCAGCUAACGCAUUAAGCACUCCGCCUGGGGAGUACGAUCGCAAGAUUGAAACUCAAAGGAAUUGACGGGGGCCCGCACAAGCGGUGGAGCAUGUGGUUUAAUUCGAAGCAACGCGAAGAACCUUACCAGGUCUUGGCAUACCAUGAAAAGCUUAGAGAUAAGUCUUUCCCUUCGGGGACAUGGAUGCAGGUGGUGCAUGGUUGUCGUCAGCUCGUGUCGUGAGAUGUUGGGUUAAGUCCCGCAACGAGCGCAACCCUUAUUAUCAGUUGCCAGCAUUCAGUUGGGCACUCUGGUGAGACUGCCGGUGAUAAACCGGAGGAAGGUGGGGACGACGUCAAAUCAUCAUGCCCCUUAUGACCUGCGCUACACACGUGCUACAAUGGUCGGUACAACG
rnacentral:rRNA from 1 species